CCGGGCAGCCCCUCUCCCUCUGCCCACCUCCUGUGCCCACAAGCCUCCCCUGGUUUGAGUGAACUCUUGAAAUGCCAGCGUCAUCCCCCAGCACGGUGGCCUUGCUCAAUUUUGUCUUUUCUAUCAGGCCAGACAUGUCUCCCUCCUGCCUUUGCACGUGUCAGAGCCCCAGUUGAUUGGGGGGAUGUAAUUAUCAGUCUCUGAGGUUGGUAGCAAAUGUGCCUUAAUCGCCUCCUCCUUCCCGAGUCGGUCUCAGGGAGAGGAGGCCGGAGAUGGCAGAGACCGUAUAAUUUACUCUCAGCCCGUAACCCUGUUAGCUGAAAGGUAAACUCUCUCUUUCUUGCGCCAGGACAUGCUCCCAAUUAAUCCACACCUAGAAACCCGGAUUGAAUUCCCUCUGAUGUGCAAAGUGCGAUGGUAGUUUCUGGGACUUGACUUUGAUGUGAGCAUCUUUGGUGUAAAAUAUCUUCCUGGGUGAUUUUAAACUAUGAAAUGUGGUUCUCCCAAGAGAGAAGAAAGAAAUGAAGUUGCACCUACUGGGUGCCAAGCACUGAGUUCUGUAUUUGAAUCCACAGGUAACUAAGACGGCCCCUGCACCCAAGGAGUUCUUGGUCUAUUAAAUGAGAUCACUGCAAAAAUAAGAGGCGUGUAACAUAGAGAGUAGAGUGAUAAGCUCACCUGGGAAAGAAGCCAGAGAGCUUCGCAAAGGCAAUGAUGUCUGAGCCGGGUUUCGAAGGAUCAAUAGGAGUUUGCCAGAUGGCAAAACAGGGGAAGGGCUUUCCAGAGAGAGAAAACAAAGCAUGCAGAGAAAUUUUUUUUUUAAUAUUUAUUUAUUUGUCUGCGCCGGGUCUUUAGUUAUGGCACAUGGGAUCUUUGUUGCCACGUGCGGGAUCUUUAGUUGCAGCAUGUGGGAUCUAGUUCCCUGACCAGGGAUCGAACCUGGGCCCCCUGCAUUGGGAGUGCGGAGUCUUAACCGCUGGGCCACCAGGGAAGUCCCAUGCACAGAGAUUUAAAGCACCAUGGUAUAUUCUGGAAGCUUCAGCAUUGCUGGAGCAUAAAGCCUAAGGAAGUAGGAAGCAGGAAGGCAGAACUUGAAAUGGAAGUGAGAGGCAGAGCUUUGUGUGCCCAGGAAAGGACCUGGAACAUUUACCUGCCCAAGAGGUCCCGCAGCUGCAGCCUUUGACACAAGGGCCACAUCCCAGACACCGUGCCCCUCUGAGCUGCUUUAGGGCUUCGGGAGCCCACCCCCUUGGCCCUGGCCAGCCCGGCCUGGAGAAUCACCCUCCAUGCUGCAGCUGGGUCCUGUGGGCUCCAAAGGAGGUGAGCCUUAGGGCUUUUAUCCUGGAGAGUAAAGGCAGCAGCUUCUGUGGUGUCCCAACCGCAGUGUCUGGCGCAUAGCAGCUGCUCAGUGGGUGUCUGCUAAGAAUAUAGAGGUUUUUCCCAUGCUCUGCUCUGACCACCCAUUGCCUCCUCUUGCUAGAACAGGGGCAGCAUCAGCCUGGACCUCCCCAGUCACCCACCACCACGUUUCUCUGGCAUGUUAUUAAUUAAUAAAUUCACUUAACAAAACAUUCGUUGACGUGUGAGGACAAGUAGGUGCCAGACGCUGGUCUCUGUUGCACAGACAGAGCUACCAUUGAGGGAUUACUGUGUGCUGGCGGGACCUGACAGAUAAUCCAGAAAUCACGUGGUCCGGGCUUGAGAUUUGUUCAGGGUGUUAGGGGAGCACAGCGGGCAGGCACCUGACCUCCUCUCUCAGGGAGGGGACUGGGAGGGGGAUGGAAGAGCGCUUCAAGGAGGAGGUAAGUGAACUGAGUCUUAACAGGUGGAUAGGAUGCUCCUGGGAAAGGCAGUCCAGGCAGGGAGCCCAGCACAGGCAAAGGCAAAGAGGCUCUCGCUGGUGGAGAAGCAGGCAAGGACGUGGGUGCCGGGGAAGGAGUUGGCAUCUUCCCCUCCUGGUUGGCAACACCUGUGGGUCCCACUGUACACCUCAGCCCUGGAAGGAGGGUCAGGGCUUUGGACUUGGGAGGAGCCUGGGAAAGGAGUUGUGAUCUGAGAAAUCCAGCCUGCAUUUAUUCAGCUAAUUUGACUGGGCUGACCCCUAAUGGGACUGGGCUGAGCUUCCCUGCUCAGUGGGGAUGCCUGAGAACAGGGAAGAAUUUGAACUCAGGGUCUGACCCUCAGCCGCCCGUUUUACAGCCUUGCUUUCAGUGUUCUCUAUUACCAGUGCUGUUAUUAUCGUGAAGCCUUCUGUAGCCUCCUUUCGUUCCAGCCAUUACAUUUUCUGAUUUGACCUGUUGGCAAUUAGUCUUCUCCCAGUGGGGCUUGGUUUUUGUUUUGUUUUUUAUGCACUUAUUUUUCACAAGUACUUUCACAAGUAACUUAAGUUGGUUUUAUUCAACCCAUCAGUCAGGCAUCAGUGCCGUGGGUAAUUGUUAGCUGGUAACAGGUGGCGUGUCACUGGACAAGCGUGAACCUGGAGUCCAGACUCCGGCGGCGUUCCCACGUGCUGGUGAAGAACGUGGGCUUAAAGCUGAGUGUGGUUCAAGUUCAGAGCUGAGUGCAGACCCUGGGCUCACCCCCUACCAGCUGUGACCUUGGGCGAGUAAUGGAAGAGCUUUUCAUUUCACUUAAAAUAUCUUUAAAAUAUUCUUUAAAGUACUUUUGUAAGGAUUUCAUGAGCAUAUUUUCAUUGUUUAAAAAAAAAAAAAAAAAAGAUUUCACCCCAUCCCAGCGGCCCCUUCAGAGGCAGCCCUGGAGGUUUUCAUGGGGUGGCAAACCCACAGAGACAGACACGGUUGUGUUUUUAUUUUUUGCUUUUAACAUUAAAGAUGCGAAGCUUGA